GAUGAACGCUGGCGGCGUGCCUAAUACAUGCAAGUCGAGCGAACGGACGAGAAGCUUGCUUCUCUGAUGUUAGCGGCGGACGGGUGAGUAACACGUGGAUAACCUACCUAUAAGACUGGGAUAACUUCGGGAAACCGGAGCUAAUACCGGAUAAUAUUUUGAGCCGCAUGGUUCAAAAGUGAAAGACGGUCUUGCUGUCACUUAUAGAUGGAUCCGCGCUGCAUUAGCUAGUUGGUAAGGUAACGGCUUACCAAGGCAACGAUGCAUAGCCGACCUGAGAGGGUGAUCGGCCACACUGGAACUGAGACACGGUCCAGACUCCUACGGGAGGCAGCAGUAGGGAAUCUUCCGCAAUGGGCGAAAGCCUGACGGAGCAACGCCGCGUGAGUGAUGAAGGUCUUCGGAUCGUAAAACUCUGUUAUUAGGGAAGAACAUAUGUGUAAGUAACUGUGCACAUCUUGACGGUACCUAAUCAGAAAGCCACGGCUAACUACGUG
rnacentral:rRNA from 1 species